rnacentral:misc_RNA from 1 species
UUUUUUCAUCUAUCCUUUUUUUUUUCUCUUUAGCAAAUAAAUUUUCAAUCUUAUGUAGAUAGAUGCAAUCAACCAUUCAUAUUAUAGCAAUUCCAUUUCAUGAUACAUCUAGACAUGACAGGUAAGUUAUUUCCCCUUUUGGAUACUGAACCAACUUACUAGCAUUUCGAAGAGAAAAAUCCACCCACUAAAACGAAGUACGACAAAUUAUCAAAUUAUCAUGGAAAUUCCAAGUUAUGCUUGAAUCA